GUCAACGAUCAUACCAUGUUGAAAACACCAGUUCUCGUCCGAUUACUGAAGUUAAGCAACAUCGGGCGCGAUUAGUACUUAGA
rnacentral:rRNA from 1 species